AUGUCUGGUCUCAACAUCGCCUCGAGAAGUUCGGAAAAGCUGCUUUUCUUUGGGUUUUUGGUUUUGGUUCGGUCGGUCUUGUGUCAUGGGUUUGCUGAGGAGUUCACCGCAGGCUCUUAUGAUUUUGGGUCUGUUAUUCUGGAGCCUCUGGACAGGUUGAGAAAGUACGUGGAGUCCAUUGUCGGCACCCAUGUGAUUGAGAUUGGUGCUGAGUUUGUCGAAAUGUUGCUGAAGUUUGUUGCUGAAGGAGCUGCCAGUGGACUGAAUGUCAUUGCUGUGUAUGUAUCUGAGAUUCUCAGAGCUACAGGAGUGAACGAGACAGUAUCAGUGCCUCAUUUCACUGCUGAGGGCGUGUCUGCUGUGACCAAGUGGGCGUUGCUGGCUCUGAUCUCCUACUGGCUCUUGUCCUUGUUGCUGUGAGUCACGGUAAUGCUUGUAAGGCGAGUGUUUUGGCUGAUUAAAGCGGUUGUAGUGCUGUGGCUGUUUGUGCGGAUCAUCGGGGACCCCACUGCCUCCAAUCAAGUCACUACAAUGAGACUGAUUUUACUAGUGCUCAUCUGUGCUGUGUUUGGAGUCGCUACGAGCAGCGGCGGUGGGACAGGAGGCAGUCUGGAAAGCCGAAUGAGCAGACUGGAGGGACAAGUCAGAGGGCUGGAAAAGAAGAAAAUGAGCAGCAAUGAGAAGCGAUGAGCAGUAAUCUGCAGCUCAAAACAAGUAUAUGGACUCAUGAUAACAGGAGAUGAGGACUCAGGGAUGACGUGUUUUAUGCAACUCAGAACAGCCUUAGGUAUUAAUAUCUGAUUUUGCCAGUUCUUUCUUGUUUUGAAUACAUUUCAUAGUUAAUUGGGCCACAGAGACUACAUUUUAAUAAAAACAAUAUGUGAGUAAAGCA
ensembl:lncRNA